rnacentral:rRNA from 1 species
AGUGAACGCUGGCGGUAGGCCUAACACAUGCAAGUCGAACGGCAGCACAGUAAGAGCUUGCUCUUACGGGUGGCGAGUGGCGGACGGGUGAGGAAUACAUCGGAAUCUACUUUUUCGUGGGGGAUAACGUAGGGAAACAUACGCUAAUACCGCAUACGACCUACGGGUGAAAGCAGGGGAUCUUCGGACCUUGCGCGAUUGAAUGAGCCGAUGUCGGAUUAGCUAGUUGGCGGGGUAAAGGCCCACCAAGGCGACGAUCCGUAGCUGGUCUGAGAGGAUGAUCAGCCACACUGGAACUGAGACACGGUCCAGACUCCUACGGGAGGCAGCAGUGGGGAAUAUUGGACAAUGGGCGCAAGCCUGAUCCAGCCAUACCGCGUGGGUGAAGAAGGCCUUCGGGUUGUAAAGCCCUUUUGUUGGGAAAGAAAAGCAGCAGGUUAAUACCCCGCUGUUCUGACGGUACCAAAAGAAUAAGCACCGGCUAACUUCGUG